rnacentral:rRNA from 1 species
GAUGAACGCUGGCGGCGUGCCUAAUACAUGCAAGUCGAGCGAACGGACGAGAAGCUUGCUUCUCUGAUGUUAGCGGCGGACGGGUGAGUAACACGUGGAUAACCUACCUAUAAGACUGGGAUAACUUCGGGAAACCGGAGCUAAUACCGGAUGAUAUUUUGAACCGCAUGGUUCAAAAGUGAAAGACGGUCUUGCUGUCACUUAUAGAUGGAUCCGCGCUGCAUUAGCUAGUUGGUAAGGUAACGGCUUACCAAGGCAACGAUGCAUAGCCGACCUGAGAGGGUGAUCGGCCACACUGGAACUGAGACACGGUCCAGACUCCUACGGGAGGCAGCAGUAGGGAAUCUUCCGCAAUGGGCGAAAGCCUGACGGAGCAACGCCGCGUGAGUGAUGAAGGUCUUCGGAUCGUAAAACUCUGUUAUUAGGGAAGAACAUAUGUGUAAGUAACUGUGCACAUCUUGACGGUACCUAAUCAGAAAGCCACGGCUAACUACGUGCCAGCAGCCGCGGUAAUACGUAGGUGGCAAGCGUUAUCCGGAAUUAUUGGGCGUAAAGCGCGCGUAGGCGGUUUUUUAGUCUGAUGUGAAAGCCCACGGCUCAACCGUGGAGGGUCAUUGGAAACUGGAAAACUUGAGUGCAGAAGAGGAAAGUGGAAUUCCAUGUGUAGCGGUGAAAUGCGCAGAGAUAUGGAGGAACACCAGUGGCGAAGGCGACUUUCUGGUCUGUAACUGACGCUGAUGUGCGAAAGCGUGGGGAUCAAACAGGAUUAGAUACCCUGGUAGUCCACGCCGUAAACGAUGAGUGCUAAGUGUUAGGGGGUUUCCGCCCCUUAGUGCUGCAGCUAACGCAUUAAGCACUCCGCCUGGGGAGUGCGACCGCAAGGUUGAAACUCAAAGGAAUUGACGGGGACCCGCACAAGCGGUGGAGCAUGUGGUUUAAUUCGAAGCAACGCGAAGAACCUUACCAAAUCUUGACAUCCUUUGACAACUCUAGAGAUAGAGCCUUCCCCUUCGGGGGACAAAGUGACAGGUGGUGCAUGGUUGUCGUCAGCUCGUGUCGUGAGAUGUUGGGUUAAGUCCCGCAACGAGCGCAACCCUUAAGCUUAGUUGCCAUCAUUAAGUUGGGCACUCUAAGUUGACUGCCGGUGACAAACCGGAGGAAGGUGGGGAUGACGUCAAAUCAUCAUGCCCCUUAUGAUUUGGGCUACACACGUGCUACAAUGGACAAUACAAAGGGCAGCGAAACCGCGAGGUCAAGCAAAUCCCAUAAAGUUGUUCUCAGUUCGGAUUGUAGUCUGCAACUCGACUACAUGAAGCUGGAAUCGCUAGUAAUCGUAGAUCAGCAUGCUACGGUGAAUACGUUCCCGGGUCU